rnacentral:rRNA from 1 species
UACGUAGGGGGCGAGCGUUGUCCGGAUUUAUUGGGCGUAAAGAGCGUGUAGGCGGUUCGGUAAGUCUGUCGUGAAAUCCUGAGGCUCAACCUCGGACGUGCGAUGGAUACUGCAGGGCUAGAGUCCGGAAGAGGCGAGUGGAAUUCCUGGUGUAGCGGUGAAAUGCGCAGAUAUCAGGAGGAACACCUAUUGCGAAGGCAGCUCGCUGGGACGUUACUGACGCUGAGACGCGAAAGCGUGGGGAGCAAACAGG